rnacentral:rRNA from 1 species
AGAGUUUGAUCCUGGCUCAGAGCGAACGCUGGCGGCAUGCUUAACACAUGCAAGUCGCACGGGCACUUCGGUGUCAGUGGCGGACGGGUGAGUAACGCGUAGGUAUCUAUCCUUGGGUGGGGGACAACUGUGGGAAACUACAGCUAAUACCGCAUAAUAACUGAGGUUUAAAGGCGCAAGUCGCCUGGGGAGGAGCCUGCGUACGAUUAGCUAGUUGGUGGGGUAAAGGCCUACCAAGGCGACGAUCGUUAGCUGGUCUGAGAGGAUGAUCAGCCACAUUGGGACUGAGACACGGCCCAAACUCCUACGGGAGGCAGCAGUGGGGAAUAUUGGACAAUGGGCGAAAGCCUGAUCCAGCAAUGCCGCGUGUGUGAAGAAGGUCUUCGGAUUGUAAAGCACUU